rnacentral:rRNA from 1 species
CCGGCCUGAGAGGGNNNACGGUCACACUGGGACUGAUANACGGCCCANACUCCUACGGGAGGCAGCAGUGGGGAAUAUUGGGCAAUGGGCGGAAGCCUGANCCAGCGACGCCGCGUGNGGGAUGAAGGCCUUCGGGUUGUAAACCUCUUUCAGCAGGGAAGAAGCGAAAGUGACGGUACCUGCAGAAGAAGCACCGGCUAACUAUGUGCCAGCAGCCGCGGUAAUACAUAGGGUGCAAGCGUUGUCCGGAAUUAUUGGGCGUAAAGAGCUCGUAGGUGGNUCGUCACGUCGAAUGUGAAACCCUGAGGCUCAACCUCNGGCCUGCNUCCGAUACGGGCGAACUGGAGUGUGGUAGGGGA